AGACUUUCCCUGCCGGCACAUGGACCUGGCCCAACCCUCACAGCCAGUAGACGAGCUGGAGCUCUCGGUGCUCGAGCGGCAGCCAGAAGAGAACACGCCUCUCAAUGGUGCCGACAAGGUCUUCCCUUCUUUGGACGAGGAGGUCCCCCCGGCCGAGGCUAACAAGGAAAGCCCCUGGAGCUCCUGUAAUAAGAAUGUGGUUGGAAGAUGCAAACUGUGGAUGAUCAUCACCUCCAUUUUCCUAGGUGUCAUUACAGUGAUCAUCAUAGGCUUAUGUCUUGCUGCAGUAACUUAUGUUGAUGAAGAUGAAAAUGAAAUACUUGAAUUAUCAUCAAACAAAACAUUCUUCAUCAUGCUGAAGAUUCCAGAGGAGUGUGUUGCUGAAGAGGAAUUGCCUCACCUGCUCACCGAAAGGCUCACAGAUGUGUACAGUACAUCGCCCUCUCUGGGUCGUUAUUUUACUUCAGUUGAAAUAGUGGACUUCAGUGGUGAAAAUGCCACAGUAACGUAUGACCUGCAAUUUGGGGUUCCAUCAGAUGAUGAAAAUUUUAUGAAGUAUAUGAUGAGUGAGGAGUUGGUGCUGGGCAUUUUGCUACAGGAUUUCCGUGAUCAGAAUAUACCUGGUUGUGAGAGUCUGGGGCUUGAUCCAACAUCCCUCUUGCUCUAUGAAUGAAGUGAUGGAGGCUGGUCUCUGUCUGAAAGCAGUGCUCUACCAAGUCCUGGAGAUGAAGGGAAUUCACUCUGUUUUGCAGAAAAGAUUCUGUGGAUUAAUACAGAAGCACCAGCAACACCAGAGGGGUGGAGACUCCUUUCUCUCCCGAUUCUACAGUCUGGCUCUAAGCCCAGUAAAACAGCUCCCGAGCACUGCUUCAGCUGGGUCCAGUCUUGACAAAGGCAGGAAGCCAGCUAGGGUGGGGGCGAUAGGGUCAGCGGGAAGUAGGACUGAAGCCGAAUCCUGAAGCACUGGUGGGAUUUGAAUAAGAAGAUUUGCCUUCCUUUACACAUGUUCGUGUCUUCUUAGGAUGAGGAUGAAGAUGAUACUAUCAAAUUCCUAAUCAGGAAAAAAGCUUUCUGCUGUGUUCCCAGCAAAGGAAAAAUGUUUCCUCACUCUCAAUUCUGGUAAUUUCCUUGGUUCCCUUGUAAUGAAGAACACGUAAGUGUUAUCCCCAGGAAAUCAAGGUACAAGUGUAUGGAAAUUUUACAAAUCAUUUUUUUCAGGUAUGGGUUAGGCAAUAUCAGUAUUUUACUAUAUUCUGAAUUUCUCCAAUUUACAGUAUAUUGCAAUUGUUUGCUCACUUGUCUAUAUUCUACACUAGAAUGUGAGCUUCACAAAGCUGGGGACCAUAUUGAUCUUGUUCAUCGUGGUAUGUAUUUCCAGUCUAUGACACAACAUCUGGCACACAGUAAAUGGGUUUUCAAAAAAUAUUUGAUGAAGAUAUGAAUACAGAAUGAAUAGCCAAGGACAGGACAACCCUGGUGCAGGAGGUCAGCAAAUCUACCACCUUGACUCCAACGAUAUAGUUAAAUAACAGGACUUCUCUCUCUUAUAGCACAAAGGCUUAGAAUCUCUCUGCAGUCCUGCAUCUACAUUAAUGUAUAAGUAUCAUUCUGUACAUUUUUCUGAAUUUGAGGCAUAGUCAACUACCUACAUGGUUGAAUGUGAAAGCCCUUUAUAAAGUAGUAUCAGUUACAGUAUGUAAAAAUGUUUGGAAAACACCAUCCAAAAAUAUCUCCCCCCGUGAGCUUUCCCAUGAAGUUUCAUCAGGAGGAGCAGUGGAGGAGAGGCUGACUGCAUCGUGACCUUGGCUGUGAUCACCUGCUUGGCUGAGCAUUCUGACAACCUCUAAGAUCUAUGCAUCAUCAAAGCCUUUGGGGCCCAGAGGCACAGCUGCAGCUCUUCCUCUUCUUUAGGUUACCUUCAAUGUGCUUCAGACCGUUUGCUUACAUUAUCUGCUUUGUUGCUAAGGAAACAUCGUAAGAAAACUACUGAAUCACACCAAGUUAACAAACCAGAUUCACUGAGGAGAAAUGAAUGAGAUAAGAGGAGGGGGAUGAUUUUGAGAGAUAUUCUCUGAACUCCUGAGGCCACAGUUUUUAAAUCUAUAAAAGAGGAUGUAUAUACUGCUUACACAUGGAGUUAUAAGAAUAAGCUGAGGUUAAAUAUGGGCAAAAACGAUCUGUAAGCUGGCUGUUUCUCCUACUUGACUUUUCUGCAGUUUAUUCUUGCAUUUCAACAUGGUGGUUUUGGUUUGGGAUGGGUUCAGAUAGCCUCCAAGAAGCAAGCUAGACAAAUCUCUAUACCCUUAGGCUACGUGUCAGGAAUUUGAGGUAUCUGUCUCUUUCACAAUGCCUUCUCUGGCUCUCUGGUCUACCCAACCUCUCCCUUGUUAUAAUGCCGUGGCCCUUCUGAUUUAUUUCAUCAUUUGAACUGUAUGCCUUAAAAUAUGCCCAAUGAUACCCCUGAAAAUAUGUAAUUCUCAACUUGAACUGAAAAAAUUCACCCUGUUGAAAGGAAUCUCUGGGUCUCCAGCCCCUAACGCGGGCAUUGGUGUUAGAAAAUAACAACAGUGCUUGUUUUUUAAUUGCUCCUCUUUCAAAAUCUCCUCCUGAAACCAUGUGAAAAGCACAGAUAACUUUACAGGCCACAGAAAAACUGACCUUGUCAGCCCUUAGGAUUCUUGGAUCCUGGAACAUUAGUUCCAUAUUUUAAUUAUUCCUUUCCUUAGAGAGAAUUCUUUAGGGCUGGACAUUUGAAAGGUCUGUUCAAAAAGAAUUAAUGAGGUGGUCUUUGUUUAACAACAUCAGGGCAAUCACAAUGGUGUCUCCACAAACUUUCUAAAAAUUGUCGUAACAUGGGGCAUGUGGUCACUUCAGAAAUAGACACCUAUAGCUUAAAAUAAAAUGGCUAGGGUGGAGGUUGAGCACAAAGGUACCUGAGAUAGACAAACAAAAUGACAACAGGAAAUAAGACCUUUUAUUUUAUAACAGGGCAUAACAGGGACUAGCAGGGUCUUAGUUCCUGUUGCUAGGAGUUACAUUAGGCUUCUAGCAAAGUAGCAUAUCUCCUGUCCAAAGUUUUCAAGCAUUUUAUCUUUUGUCCUGUCUUCACAUUUGUUACUAUUGCAACUGCUACUGGUCUAAACAGGGCCCUCUCUCACUGGGAUGUGAAGUCCAGGGCUUGACAUACUUCGUUCUCCUUGGGCAAGGUCUGGGGGGUGUUUGGUUGAUUUUGCUCUCACCUGGAUGUUCUCUGUUUGGGGCUUUGCAUUCUCACAUUCCAAGGCAUCUCUUGAGUGUUCUGCUGCCGCCUGAAACUCAACAUAUCAGAAACAGGCUAAGUAUUUCCUAAACAGGCCUGUCACUUCUUUUCAUAAUUUUUCCGACUUUCCUCAUUUCUGCUAUUUGUGUGUAACUCAGAAAUUGACUGGUUGCCCUCACACAUGUUAAUACUGUUUCCUCAAGCACAUGUCGCAAGCUACCUUUGAUCUGACAUGCUCUCCAUUGCCACAGCAACAGCCCACUGAUGUUCUCCAACCUCCAUGAACAAGUGAUCCUAAAUCAUCUGAUCCCAAAUAUCCAGGGAUCCUCGUCAUGACCCUUGAGAGUAUCCGUGUCCAGAGAGAGGCCUGAGGUCCUCAGCUACCAUCUCUUUGGUGCAGUUCCAGGAGCUAUGCACAAGUAAUGGGGAAAGGUACUGGCUUUGUCUUGUGUAAAUCACACCAUCUUUCACAGAAAGCAUGGAGGCCCAGAACAAGGGACAGAAGGAGAAGAAAAGGAUUGAAUAAAGAAAAUAAAUUGGUUCAUUGUUUGGGUUAGAUUUCUGUAUACCCAUCUUCCCACUUGUUGGGAAUUGGGAGUAUGAGGAUAAAGAAACUAACACUUAAACACUACUUACUAUAUGCCAAUCAUUUUGUGUGUUAUAUUUCAUUUAAUCCCAGAAUAAAUCCAUAAGAUAGAUAUUAUCAUUAUAUUUUUUAUACUAAUGAGGAAACUGAGGCCCAAAAUGCUAGGCAACUGGUCUGAGGAUCCACAGCCACUAAGGGGGAAAAGCUGGGUUUGCUGCUGGCAGGUCUCUUCCUCUGAGACUGAGCUCCUCUCAUGAAGGGAUGAGUGCCAUUCUAUUCUGUGCAAAAUUUCCCUGACUUCUUAGCUUAUUUGAUCUGGAGAGACACGGUUGGGGGGGUAUGCUGACUAGAUGAUAACUGGGUGUUGGGGUGACAAUGAAAAUUAGAUACCAAUAUAUACAAGACUUUUGAAUACGUUAACGGAAACAUUUUAUUUAAUUAUUUUAAUGAAUUUAUUUUUAAGACUGGGUCUUGCUAUGUUGUUCAGGCUGCCCUCAAACUCCUGGGCUCAAGCAAUCCUCCUGCCUCAGCCUCCUGAGUAGCUGGGACUACAGGUGCAUGCCACUGCACUUGGUUCAAGGGAGACCUUUUAAAUCAUCAUAGAAAUAAAGAUGUUGGGCAAACUGAUCAACUAUUUGGAAAAAAAUUUACAUCUGACACCAUAUAUUGAAUAUAUGUUGCCAAAUGUAAAAUAACAAAAUCAAAACUUAUGUGAGUUGAUUUGUCUUAUCUUAGGAAGAGCAAAGAAUUUUAAGCAUGAAUGCAAUGGCAGAAACCAAAAAGCUUUCUAGAUUUAAAAUCGAAUUUUCUUUAAAAUAAAUAAAAAACCAUAAGAAGUCCAAAUAGCAUAAGAUGUGUGCACCUUGGAAAAAGGUUUUUUUUCUUACAUAAAACAAAAUUUUAAAGUAAAAAAAUUUUUUUAAAGUUUUUUUGCACUUAUUCAGUGCACGUGAUAUGCCAGAAACAAUGCCAGGAACCAGGAAUUCAAAGAUAAAUAAGAAACAAUCACUACAUUUGAGCAUCUCAUAUCUAGUAAUAAAAAUAGUAAUUUAUAUAAUUGUUAGAACAAUGCUAGAGUAGAAGAUUGACAAGGGGCUGUGACAACCCAGGGUAGAGAAGUCUCAGACAACAUGAUUCUUAGGAAGGGACAUGAGAUAUUCCACAGGACCACCAAUCCUCUUUUCGGCAAGUGGUCAAAAGUGGGCUACCAUUUUUUCCUGUGUUCCACUCUCCAGUAGCAUGAACUGAGACCAGGGAUUCCAAACAUAACCCUGUGAAGACCCCCUCUGGCUCGCUUACUCUCUCUAGAUCACCCCACUUUAUACCCUAGAGAUUACCUUGUCUGUGGUGGCACUAUUUUGGUGGCACGGCUUUGAUAUUAAGGAAGAUGAUGGUCAGAAAAAGAAAGCAGAAAAUAUCUUCUAAUUUUGAACCCUACUUUAUGUCAGGCACUAUGCUAGCACAAUACACACUAGAACUCUCUAAGGUAGAUAUUGUAUUAUUAUUUCUACUUAAAAUAAAGAGGCUGAGGUCCAGAAAGUAAAUCUGAGUUCUGUGCCUAUUUAAUCUAGAUGACCUCUGCUUACCUGCUUGCAGGGAGUGCACAUCAAAGGAAGACUCAAGGUGGCAGGAAGCUUGCUGUUUAUUUCAAACUUAAAAUAGUGGCUGAAAGAGGGUGGUGAUUUUGACCUCCUUGUGGAGCAUGAGGAGCUCAGGAGAGCAUCUCCUUCCCGGGCUUUCAGAAAGUUGUUUCAUUUCUUAGGUGGUAACCUAUUAUAUAGACCUUCCUUGGUAAAGUCUUUCCACCUUUCAGCUAUUCUCCAUCAGCUGCUCACCAUGAUUCUUGGGAGAAGGCAAAACCUAUGGGAAAUUUAAUGUGGUAUCUGGCACAGAGUAGGCACUGAAGGCUUGGCAGUUUCCUUACCCAACUACUUUCUACCCCAACUUAGUGUGCUAACUGUAUACUAGCUUUCUUUUUCUCUUCCUUGCUGUAUUGUCCUGUCCCAUCUCCUCUGCUCUCCCACAGGGAGUCUAGACUUACCUGUUUUCUCUCAGCAGAGAAUUUCCCAUCCUCUCAGUCCUCUCAGGGCUUCCCCUCCGUCCCUUUACCACUUCCUUCUUGCCUUGUGCUCUGACAGGGCAACUCCUGACUUAAAGAAAGGGCUGUGUGGCUCUGGCCACCCGUGCAGAGACAGCAGAAAGGAGAAGGGUGUCUCUGCAGAGGGAAGGAAGAGGCUGGGGGAGGAGUGUUAGAGGCACGCAUGUGCAGAAUGUCCUAACAUGUCAGUGCCUGAACCAACCUGGCUGUUGGCCAUAACCAGCAACUACCCGUCAAUGAGAGCUUCGAACCUCUGGGGAAUCCCAGGUCUGAAAUUACAGAUGGGCCAUGGGAGUUUUUCCACUACAGAUAUUUACGUUUAUAAAUCACGUUGUCUUCUUAGAAAAGUCAGAAGGAGGUUAAAACAGUCAAGCCACAGACCUGUAGAAAAUAUAGUAUCAACAACUCUCAAAUCUGAAAACAAACACCCAGUAACAAAAUGGGCAAAAUAUUUGAACAGACAUUUCACCAAAGGAACUAUACAGAUGAACAUUAAAAGAUGCUAAACAUUGUAGUUAUUAGGGAAGUGUAAAUCAAAUCCACAAUGGAACACUUUUACAUACUUAUUACAAUGGCUAUAAAACCCUGACAAUAUCAAGUAUGGCAAGGUAUGCAAAGCAACUGGAAGUCUCAUGCAUUGCUGAUGAGAAUGCAAAAUGACAGCCUUUUUGGAAAGAAGUGAUAAGGACAGAAGGCAGGGCUUUACUGGGUAGAAGAGGGUGGUUCACUGGCAAAGGUCCCACCCUCAAGCCUUGAAACCGAAGCCCUAAAUGAGAACAGUUAUCCCUGUUAUCCUGCCCAAAUGUUACUCUUUAGCCUGUCCAGCCCCCCUAUCCCGUGCCCAUAUAAACCCCAGACCUCAGCUGGCAGACAGACAAGCGGCUGAACAUCAAGAGGAGAAGAAGCAACUGAGUGUCAGAGAUGUGGCUUAACUUCAGGUGGCAUGACUUCAGGGAGGAGCCCGGCCAGAGACAGCAGACUUCAGGGAAAGGUCACUUUCUUCCUGCACCAUCCCCUUUGCAGCUCCCCUUCCACUGAGAGCCACUUCCACCAUUUAAUAAAAUCGUCCACAUCCAUCAACUUUCAAACCAUUCAUGCAACCUGAUUCUUCCUGGAUGCUGAACAAGAACCUGGGUACCAACAGGGCAGGGUGUAAAAGGCUGCCACCCUGACUCUCCAUUGAGUGGGUUAACACUUAGCUGUCCACGGAUGGCAACUGCUAAAAGAGCAUGAAUUGUAACACAUCCCUAAAUGCUGCUGUUGGGCUGGAGCCCAAAAGUGCUCAUCGAAGCCCUGGCACCCGCUUGCCUGCGUGCUCCCGCUCCCACAGAGAGUUUGAGCAUGGUGGUGGCCAAGUAAGUAGGCCACACCCCUGUCGCAAGUCCCGAGAAGGGGUCAAGGGAACUCUCCCAUCUCAGAAGUAUGGCAAUUUCUUAUAAAAUUGAACAUAGGGUUACUGUACAACCUGGCAAUUUCACUCCUAGGCAUUUAGCCAAGUGAAACUUAUGUCCUCUAAGACUGUGUGUACAAAUUUUUAUAUGUGCUUUACUCAUAAUAGCCGAAAUACCCUGGAAAUAGCCCAACUGAUCUUCAUUGAGUGAAUUGCUAAAUAAGCUCUGUGUUAUAUUACAUCCACACAACAGAAUCCUGACCAUCAUUGAAAAGGAGUGGACUAUUAAUACAUGCAAUAACUUGGAUCAAUCUCAAAUGCAUUACACUAAGUGAAAGAGACCAGACUUAAAGCCUACCUUCUGUGACAUUAGAGAUAAGGUGAAACCACAGGAACAGAAAACAUAUUAGUGUUGCCAGGAGCAAAAGGUGGGGGAGGUGUUGACUUUCAAAGCACAGGAGGAAAUUUUUUGUUGUUGUUCUUUAUCUUGAUUGUGUUAGUGCCCACAUGACUGUAUGCAUUUCUCAUAAUUCACAGAACUGUAUACUAAUAAGGGUGCACUUCACUGCACAUAAAUGAAUCUCAACAGACAAAAGGUUAAAAAAGAAAGAAAUCUCGGGACAGGAAUCAUGGAUUUUUGUAUUAUCCUUGUAUUUGAUGGUUGUUUCCAGUUUGGUCACUCAUCUGUUUGUUCAUUCCUUUAACAAGUAUGUGUCGAGUGCCUACUAUGUGCUGGGCACUGUAGGUUCAAUGGUAAGAAAAGCAGAUACAGGACUGCUCUUGUGAAGUUCCUUGAAAGAAAUAAAACAAAGUGCAAAAUAUUUUAUUGCUUGUCCUUGAGUAAUGUAAAGGUCAUAUCUAAAACAGGCAGGAGAAGGAUGGGGAGUGGGCUUAGAAGAAACAAUUUCAGAGAAACUAGGGUACUAGCUGUGCAACCCCAGAUUCAUCUCACAUCAUUCUUAUCCUUAUGGCUGCUCUCCAAACUUCCUUUUGGCUCUGUGAGGGAUUUCCAGGAGCACCUUAUUAAAAAUGGAAGAUUUUAUUAUAAAAGAUAAGCCAUUAUUGAUCAUUCACUUUUCUAAAAAAACACAAAUGUGAGAAUAAAAUAAAAACACACAAGACUCACUAGCCCCUGCAAGACAGAAAGCAGCCCUGGACAGAGAGCCUCCUUAUUAUAUACCUAAUGCCUGAACUCACACAUUCUAGGGUUUCAUGUUUUGUUACCUCUUGCAAAGGAUAGGAAACUGGCUAGAAAAUUCAUGUAAAGGAAGGUCACAACUUUAAAGCUAUCUGACGCUAAUGACUUGUAUAAUCUAGUUUGCAGCUCUGAGAGACAAUAUCAAAUAAGCAUUGUCAAAUACUACUCCCACCUAACCUUUGCUGUCAUUGUUCUUUGAAAUUAUCUUUGGGAUUGGUUAUGUUCUCUCACUGUAGCUUUCGUUUAUCUCAGAGCACACACCCUAAUGUCCAUGUGCAGUCUCCAUGCUCAAGUAUUCCAGAAUACAAUUUUCUGGAGUCUAACUUCAGUUGACACCUGACUCCAAAUUGCAAAUCUACCUCCAACCAAAAAGAAAUGAGAAAUUAGUUUUUAAGGGCAAUUAGCAAAUAUAUUACAAAAAUAAUUUCAGAUAAACGCUAUGUGACAAAUGGUGCUGUCAAGUCCUCUUAUGUGAAUACUAGUCAUUGUUUGUCUUGAGAAAAUGUGUGCAGUGGAGGAUAUCUUCUUGGCAUAUAAAAGGGGAAGAUUUCUUUCUGUUUUAGUAAUCUCUUUAGGGGAUUGCCUGUGGUGUGCAUUACAUUCUGGUUGAAUAUUCAGAAAUAAAAGUGUUUUCUUUCUCUUCUA